AGGACGAACGCUGGCGGCGUGCUUAACACAUGCAAGUGGAGCGACGAACCAGGCUUCGGCCUGGGGCAGAGCCGCGAACGGGUGAGUAACACGUGGGUAACCUGCCUCGAUGAUCGGGACAACCCGGGGAAACCCGGGCUAAUACCGAAUGUGCUGCCCGCACCUAAGUGCGGGUUGGAAAGGAAGCUUCGGCCUCCGCAUCGAGAUGGGCCCGCGGCCCAUUAGCUUGUUGGUGAGGUAACGGCUCACCAAGGCUGCGAUGGGUAGCUGGUCUGAGAGGACGAUCAGCCACACUGGGACUGAGACACGGCCCAGACUCCUACGGGAGCAGCAGUGGGAAUCUUGCGCAAUGCGCGAAAGCGUGACGCAGCAACGCCGCGUGGGGAAGACGGCCUUCGGUGUAACCCUUCGAGUGGACGAGGUCGGCGUGAAUAGCCGUUCGACUGACGUACUCACAGAACGCCCGCUAACUACGUGCCAGACACGCCGCGGUAAUCGUAGA
rnacentral:rRNA from 1 species